AGUGAUAGGUGGGGGACAUGGAAAAUGGCUCAGGCCUCUGACACCAAGAAUGCAGAUUGCAGAGUUGAAGUAAUUUUAACUCCUCCAGCUCCAGCUCUCACACCCACCUUGGCCACUCCCUCCACCUUCCCCAGGUGCCUGGCGGUGGCCAGUUUUUCUCAGCAUUUCAGAUGUAAAGUCAAAUCCCAGAUCGUUGUGAAGCAGGAUUCCCACUCACCUGGCUGUGACUCUCCAAUUCCCUCUCCACUGCCUCUCCUCCUUUCCCCCUCCUUCUCCUUUUUAUUUAUUUAGCACAUUUUAGCUGAGCAUUUCUUUCUAGACUAUAGUGUGGUACUCAAAUAACUCAAACCACCUUCUUUAUUUUUCUCAUCUACAGGUAAUCAGAGACAAUGCAAACAAUGACAAAAGAAACGCCAAGGAUCUAUGAUGUGUUGGGUUUGCUCUGGGUGUGUGUUUGUUAAAUGGAAGGAUGAGUGGGUGGGUAGAUGAAGGCCUGAAUGAAUUUACAUUAGGAGAAAAAAAAAACCUGCUUUCAGUUCAAUGAUGUACUGUUACAUAGUACAAAGGAAAGAAAAAAGAAUGAUAGUUACCCUGUAUUUUAGUUGAUGUAGUCAAAUAAUGUGAAUAAUUGAGGCCCUAAGUAGAAUUUUUAGGAUAUGAAUUAGCUACAUAAAUCUUAUUCACAGGCUAACCUCCUGCUGCAUAAUCACUGUCAGUUGUGCCCUCUGGUUUGUGGUGUAUAGAUAAACACCAUGUUUAGUGUACUGAAUUGGCAAACCUCUAAGCUUGGGUGUUGGUCUCCUUUUGACUUCAGUGUCAGAAAACGGACAGCUCUUCUUUAAUCCAGAUGUUCUAGUAUUGUUCAGUUUGGAGUUCUUCUGGAUAUCUACCCUUGUGGACCUUACCUGCUCCCAGGAGCCAGCUUUCUCCUCUGCACAAAGAAGCUCACUUGUACCUGAGAUCAGAAACAAAGAGCAUCUACCCUAGAGCUCAUCAGAGCUAUCCUGCUUACUCUGCUGUUGCUCUGUGUCCCCUCAAUGGAGUGCCUGAGAGGUGGCUGAGACCAUGUUCAGCAAAGAUGUUUCUAGGCUUUACUGAACAUGGCUGGUGAUAACUGUCUGAUCCUUCAAUCCUUUUAUAUGCUGAACUACUUGCUCCAGCUGAUCCAUUUCCCAGACUACCUUGGUCUGUCUCUGUCUCCACCUUCCCUCCCUUUCAUAUGAGUCAGCAAUGUUAAAGUACAAACAACUUUAUAUGAAUAAAAGGACAAGAUCAUGAACCAUAUGGGUGAACAAACCAAACUCAGUUUCUUCUACUCUACUCUCACAAUGCAGAUCACUUUUGUGAUCCCAAAAUGUGUAGGGAUUUUUUUCCCACCAGCAUGUAAACAAUCUGUCGUGCAGUGGACACCUGAUUCAGUCUGAUCCCAUCUACUGGGAGAUGAUGUCUGAUUUCACAGGAUGAGGUUUCAGUACCACAAGACUACCUCCACUUCAGACACAAGUCUGUCUCUUUUGUGAUACUGGGGACUGAACCCAGGACCU
rnacentral:lncRNA from 1 species